CCCUUUUAAUGGAUCACAGCGCAGUUGUGCAGCAGAAAUGUCUUUUCCAUGUUCUUUUUGUGACUUUGUGCAGCUCCAGCAUGAGUUUGCUACCUUGUUGAUUGGCAUGAGCUUCAGUGGGAAAACCAGAAUUUUCCUUGGCAAGACCUAUGCUAGGUCUAUAGCAAGGAAGCAGCUGCCUGCAGGAAACCCUGGUGGGGUACAUGAAGGCAAGGUUGUGAACUCCAUUUAGUUGGAUGAGCUGCUCUGAAUUUGACUUCAGAACUGGGAUAGCUUGGAGAUGGAAUUUGUCUCAUGGAGGCAGUCUGAAAAAUGGCACCUGGGAUCCAUGUGUGCAAACAGACCUCGGUGUAAAGAAGCAUCCUGUAAAUACCACAUGAGCAAUACUGGAAAGACAUGAUGCCAUCAGGAUUUUUCUGCAAUAAAGCUGGGAGAAAGUAGAA